rnacentral:rRNA from 1 species
CGCCUUGCCAGCCCGCUCAGAACUUAAAGGAAGUUGACGGGGCCCGCACAAGCGGUGGAGCAUGUGGUUAAUUCGAAGCAACGCGAAGACUACCAGGCCUUGACAUGCAGAGAACUUCCAGAGAUGGAUUGGUGCCUUCGGGAACUCUGACACAGGUGCUGCAUGGCUGUCGUCAGCUCGUGUCGUGAGAUGUUGGGUUAAGUCCCGUAACGAGCGCAACCCUUGUCCUUAGUUACCAGCACGUUAUGGUGGGCACUCUAAGGAGACUGCCGGUGACAAACCGGAGGAAGUGGGAUGACGUCAAGUCAUCAUGGCCCUUACGGCCUGGGCUACACACGUGCUACAAUGGUCGGUACAAAGGGUUGCCAAGCCGCGAGGUGGAGCUAAUCCCAUAAAACCGAUCGUAGUCCGGAUCGCAGUCUGCAACUCGACUGCGUGAAGUCGGAAUCGCUAGUAAUCGUGAAUCAGAAUGUCACGGUGAAUACGUUCCCGGGCCUU